rnacentral:rRNA from 1 species
AUUGAACGCUGGCGGCAGGCUUAACACAUGCAAGUCGAGCGGAGAUGAGGUGCUUGCACCUUAUCUUAGCGGCGGACGGGUGAGUAAUGCUUAGGAAUCUGCCUACUAGUGGGGGACAACAUUCCGAAAGGGAUGCUAAUACCGCAUACGUCCUACGGAGAAAGCAGGGGAUCUUCGGACCUUGCGCUAAUAGAUGAGCCUAAGUCGGAUUAGCUAGUUGGUGGGGUAAAGGCCUACCAAGGCGACGAUCUGUAGCGGGUCUGAGAGGAUGAUCCGCCACACUGGGACUGAGACACGGCCCAGACUCCUACGGGAGGCAGCAGUGGGGAAUAUUGGACAAUGGGGGGAACCCUGAUCCAGCCAUGCCGCGUGUGUGAAGAAGGCCUUAUGGUUGUAAAGCACUUUAAGCGAGGAGGAGGCUACUGAGACUAAUACUCUUGGAUAGUGGACGUUACUCGCAGAAUAAGCACCGGCUAACUCUGUGCCAGCCGCCGCCGUAAAAC